GACGAACGCUGGCGGCGUGCUUAACACAUGCAAGUCGAACGGAAAGGCCCUGCUUUCGGGGUACUCGAGUUGCGAACGGGUGAGUAACUCGUGGGUGAUCUGCCCUCCACUUCGGGUUAAGCCUGGGCGACUGGGCCUAAUUCCUGCCAGGUGCCAUAUUUAGCGUGAUGGUUGGAAAGUUUUUUCGGUGUAGGGUGAGUUUGCUGCCUAUCAGCUUGCUGGGGUGGUUAUGGCUUACCAAGGCGGCGUGGGGUAGCCGGACUGCGUGGGUGAACGGCCACACUGGCACUGAGGGGAGGCCGAAGCAGCUACGGGAGGGAGAUGUGGGGAAUAUUGAAGAAGGAGCGCAAGGCUGAUGAAGAGGCGCCGCGUGGCGGAAGACGGCCUUCGGGUGGUAAACUAAUUUCGCUAGGGACGAAGCUUUUUGUGACGGUACCUAGAUAAGAAGCACCGGCUAACUACGUG
rnacentral:rRNA from 1 species